CGGGUGUACGUGAGCAAAUUUCUUUUCAUAAAAAAAUUAUAUUCUCAGGAUCUUAAAGGGGGUUUAUUAAAUUUUUACUCGGAUCCCGUAAAUCGUGGUCCUGUUUCAUAAAUUUAAGUCGAGGUGAACGUGAUUAUAUUUUUGAACAUCUUCAACGAGGUGUGGUCCGAGUGAGGCGAGCGUGCUCCACUUGCAAGAAGGCGGCGCCCGCGCUGCACAUCUCUUGUGUGCCUUGAAUUUGCAGAGUUCACAGGCGAGAGCAUGCGCUGUUCCCAGAGCACCGAGUGGCUCACGGCAUACAUUACAGAAGACUGGCGACCAGGUCCGCGACUUCUGCGCCACGAUGUAGAGCUCCACGAAGCGCAGUGGCCCAGGACUCCAUGAUGCCGCGGCUGGCUGCACACAACACCAGACACCGGCUCGGUGUUAUUACCUAUAUAACAAAAUAUAUAUAUUAUUUCUUGAUAUAUUCUCACGUAAUA